AUGAACGCUGGCGGCGUGCCUAAUACAUGCAAGUCGAGCGAACAGACGAGGAGCUUGCUCCUCUGACGUUAGCGGCGGGCGGGUGAGUAACACGUGGAUAACCUACCUAUAAGACUGGGAUAACUUCGGGAAACCGGAGCUAAUACCGGAUAAUAUAUUGAACCGCAUGGUUCAAUAGUGAAAGACGGUUUUGCUGUCACUUAUAGAUGGAUCCGCGCCGCAUUAGCUAGUUGGUAAGGUAACGGCUUACCAAGGCAACGAUGCGUAGCCGACCUGAGAGGGUGAUCGGCCACACUGGAACUGAGACACGGUCCAGACUCCUACGGGAGGCAGCAGUAGGGAAUCUUCCGCAAUGGGCGAAAGCUUGACGGAGCAACGCCGCGUGAGUGAUGAAGGUCUUCGGAUCGUAAAACUCUGUUAUUAGGGAAGAACAAAUGUGUAAGUAACUAUGCACGUCUUGACGGUACCUAAUCAGAAAGCCACGGCUAACUACGUG
rnacentral:rRNA from 1 species